CCUACGGGUGGCAGCAGUGAGGAAUAUUGGUCAAUGGACGAGAGUCUGAACCAGCCAAGUAGCGUGAAGGCUGACUGCCCUAUGGGUUGUAAACUUCUUUUAUAUGGGAAUAAAACGCUCCACGUGUGGGAUUUUGUAUGUACCAUAUGAAUAAGGAUCGGCUAACUCCGUGCAAGCAGCCGCGGUAAUACGGAGGAUGCGAGCGUUAUCCGGAUUUAUUGGGUUUAAAGGGUCCGUAGGCGGAAUGCCAAGUCAGCGGGAAAAUCGCGGGUGUAAACCUCGCUUCGCGGUUGAAACUGGCGUUCUAGAGUGGGCGAGAAGUAGGCGGAAUGCGUGGUGUAGCGGUGAAAUGCAUAGAUAUCACGCAGAACUCCGAUUGCGAAGGCAGCAUGCCGGAGCCCAACUGACGCUGAAGCACGAAAGCGUGGGUAUCGAACAGGAUUAGAUACCCGAGUAGUC
rnacentral:rRNA from 1 species